AUGAAUGAGUUGACAAGCCAGUCCCACCCCACCUGCCAACUCGCCAGGCUGCCAGGGCUGCGCUACCUGCUCGGACCAGACCCUCCCCCCUCCCCGCCGCUCCCCGCUCUCCCUCCCCCCCGGACGGCUCCUGGCUCCCCCUGGUGCUCCCGCCUCCUAUCAUUUCGCCAAAAUCCCGCCCAAAGGCAUGUCUGCCGGGCACUGAUGCAACGCCCCCUACCCACGCUCUCCGGGCUCGGAGUCCCCCGCGCCGGACUCCAGCGACGUGUCCACCUGGCGUGCGCGGGCCGCCGACUUUCCGCGGGCGACACCAGGGCCCUGAGGCGGACCCUGCGAGGCCCCCAGGCCACCCCCGUGCUCGGGCAAGACGCGGCAGCACACGCGGUGGGGGCACUCACCCAGGCGGAGAGGGCUGGAGGCGGCGCAGCGGGCGGCAGCGGCAGCCUGGCCUCGCACUCUGUGCUCCGGGCUGUUUUCCUCCUCCCCACUUUUUCUGGUGUACCGCGAUGGACGCCAAUGCAGGUCCCCCAACCUCCGCACCUCCCUGUGGGCACCACGCUGUCCUCGCCAGUAGAUCCAGGCGAGCCGAGCACAAACUGCCUCGGGCGCGGGACGCUGAGGUGCUUUGGCCGGGUGCUCUCCUUGCGGGCGAAGGGGUGUUGCUGGACGAGGUUGCGAGCCUCGGGUCGGGUGGCAGGUCAGACUUUCAGGUUCAACACGAGCGCCGCUCCGGUUUUUCCUUGUGCCUCACCGUGGAAACCUCUGCCUCGUUCGUCCUCGGCCCCCCACUCCCGGGCCCCGGGUGCGGGAUGCGAGGCGCACGCGGGGCGGCGGGAAUGUGGUGUGUGUGCUGGUGCGUGUGAUCAGCUGCAGAGCCGCGGGAGCCCCGCCUGUCCCUGCCUUCCCCCGCCGCUCCACCAGCCUGAAUUGCACCUCCGCGCCUCAGUUGAGCCUGCAGUGUCUGGCAGCUCAGGAAGAGCGAACCCCUCCAAUGAGAAGCGGCUCUAA
rnacentral:lncRNA from 1 species